UACGUAGGGGGCGAGCGUUGUCCGGAGUUACUGGGCGUAAAGCGCUUGUAGGCGGUCCACCAAGUUUGGGGUGACAGUUGCCGACUUAAUCGGCAAAGUGCCUCAAAGACUGGCGGACUUGAGGGCCACAGAGGGACAUGGAACUCCAGGUGUAGUGGUGAAAUGCGUAGAUAUCUGGAAGAACACCAAAGGCGAAGGCAGUGUCCUGGGUGGUCGCUGACGCUGAGAGGCGAAAGCCAGGGGAGCGAGCGGG
rnacentral:rRNA from 1 species